AGCUUUGCGCAGUGGCAGUAUCGUAGCCAAUGAGGUUUAUCUGAGGCGCAAUUAUUUCUGAUUGAAAACUUUUCCCAAUACCUGCCAUCACGACUUGAAAUAUAGUUGGCAUUGGCAAUUUUUGACAGUCUCUACGGAGA
ensembl:snRNA U4 U4 spliceosomal RNA